rnacentral:rRNA from 1 species
GAUGAACGCUGGCGGCGUGCCUAAUACAUGCAAGUCGAGCGAAUGGAUUAAGAGCUUGCUCUUAUGAAGUUAGCGGCGGACGGGUGAGUAACACGUGGGUAACCUGCCCAUAAGACUGGGAUAACUCCGGGAAACCGGGGCUAAUACCGGAUAACAUUUUGAACCGCAUGGUUCGAAAUUGAAAGGCGGCUUCGGCUGUCACUUAUGGAUGGACCCGCGUCGCAUUAGCUAGUUGGUGAGGUAACGGCUCACCAAGGCAACGAUGCGUAGCCGACCCGAGAGAGUGAUCGGCCACACUGGGACUGACACACGGCCCAGACUCCUACGGGAGGCAGCAGUAGGGAAUCUUCCGCAAUGGACGAAAGUCUGACGGAGCAACGCCGCGUAAGUGAUGAAGGCUUUCGGGUCGUAAAACUCUGUUGUUAGGGAAGAACAAGUGCUAGUUGAAUAAGCUGGCACCUUGACGGUACCUAACCAGAAAGCCACGGCUAACUACGUGCCAGCCGCCGCAGUAA